UACGUAGGGGGCAAGCGUUGUCCGGAAUCAUUGGGCGUAAAGAGCGCGUAGGCGGCCCAGUAAGUCCGCUCUGAAAGUCAGGGGCUCAACCCCUGAAUGCGGGUGGAUACUGCUGGGCUAGAGUCCGGAAGAGGCGAGUGGAAUUCCUGGUGUAGCGGUGGAAUGCGCAGAUAUCAGGAGGAACACCAAUAGCGAAGGCAGCUCGCUGGGACGUACUGACACUGAGGCGACGAAGGCUGGGAGAA
rnacentral:rRNA from 1 species